rnacentral:tRNA from 1 species
GAGGUUGUGGCUCAGAGGUAGAGCGCUCACCUAGCAUGUGCAAGGCCCUGGGUUCAAUUCUCAGCACCACA